UGGCUUAGCUGUGAUUCAAGUUACUUGUGCUUGAACCAAAAAAUAGAUCGAUGCAGCAAUGCUAGCAAUAAUCAUUCUAUUUUUUCACCUGAUGUAAGCUAACUGAAGAGACGAUGUGCUGAUGGAUGAUAUUACAAGCAUGCUGUGAAGGGAGCAUGGCCAUAUCAAUUAGACACUAGGAAACGGUUUCUUCAUACCCACUCAUCAAAUAAUGGUGUAUAUCUUGAUCC
rnacentral:lncRNA from 1 species